CCUACGGGGGGCAGCAGUGGGGGAUAUUGCACAAUGGGGGAAACCCUGAUGCAGCGACGCCGCGUGGGUGAAGAAGCGCCCCGGCGCGUAAAGCCCUGUCAGCAGGGAAGAAAAUGACGGUACCUGAAGAAGAAGCCCCGGCUAACUACGUGCAAGCAGCCGCGGUAAUACGUAGGGGGCAGGCGUUAUCCGGAUUUACUGGGUGUAAAGGGGGCGCAGACGGCGAUGCAAGCCAGGAGUGAAAGCCCGGGGCCCAACCCCGGGACUGCUCUUGGAACUGCGUGGCUAGAGUGCAGGAGGGGCAGGCGGAAUUCCUGGUGUAGCGGUGAAAUGCGUAGAUAUCAGGAGGAACACCGGUGGAGAAGGCGGCCUGCUGGACUGCAACUGACGUUGAGGCCCGAAAGCGUGGGGAGCAAACAGGAUUAGAUACCCGGGUAGUC
rnacentral:rRNA from 1 species